rnacentral:rRNA from 1 species
UGAGGAACAUGACCUUCGGCGGGGGAUAGCCGGCCCAACGGCCGGGUAAUACCGCGUACGACCUUUCGGGGACAUCCCUGGAUGGUGAAAGCAGCAAUGCGCCGAUGGAGUGCCUCGCGGCCUAUCAGCUAGUUGGUGAGGUAACGCUCACCAAGGCGACGACGGGUAGCUGGUCUGAGAGGAUGGCCAGCCACAUUGGGACUGAGACACGGCCCAGACCUCCGUACGGGAGCCAG